UAUAUACUCCCUCCGUUCGGAAUUACUUGUCGCAUAAAUGGAUGCAUCUAGAUGUAUUUUAGUUCUAUAUACAUUCAUAUCUGAAACAAGUAAUUCCGAACGAAGGGAGUAGAUC
rfam:Triticum aestivum genome assembly, contig: Triticum_aestivum_CS42_TGACv1_scaffold_374563_5AL